rnacentral:misc_RNA from 1 species
UCGUAUUUUUUAUAAACUAAAUGUACAUAUACUAUGUAUUUAAUAUAUGUGCAUUUUAUUAAUUCGCUCCAUCGCAUAAGCCAUUUAUGCACUGCAUUUUCCUUAUAACAACGGAUGUUUUACGUGUCAGAUGUAUGAAAAAAGAUUUAUCAUGAUAUCCCCACAAUCCACAUAUCAAUGAAAAACAUGUCUUUUCUUUUUUUAAUGAUAUUAUAUAUCUUGCGGAGCGUCUUUGUAAAAUUAUUGAAUAUUACGUGGUUAUUUUCGUCUCUUAAUUUUGCUCUUGUUCAAAUAUUGCUAAAAAGAAGUAUGGUGCACUUUUCAAUAUAAGCACCGUUUACAAUUUGUGUAUUGUAAAUGAUGGCGAAUGGGAUGAAAAUUAAACGGGGACAAAAAACAUCCCAUGUAAAUGGUACUUAAAAUUUGAAUAAAUGUUUUGUCUGUACUUGAUCGAGUUAGUUUGGGGUACUUUUCUGUAUUUUUUCCUUAAUUUUGUACUUUGUUACAUUUUGACAUGAAUUGUCCAUAAACUAUAUGUUCCUAUUUC